AAAAGUGGAAAGGGCUUCAGGUGGAUGCCUAGGCACGGGUAGGCGAUGAAGGGCGUGGCAAGCUGCGAUAAGCCCGGGGGAGCGGCAAGCACGCUUUGAUCCCGGGAUCCCCGAAUGGGAAAACCCGGCGGCUUCGGCCGUCAUCACUAGGGGAAGGUUUUACCGAGUACCCUGGUGAGGCGAAACCCGGCGAAGUGAACCAUCUCAGUAGCCGGAGGAAAAGAAAGAGACAUCCAUUCCCCCAGUAGCGGCGAGCGAAAAGGGAAGAGCCUAAACCGCGUCGGUGCCAAGCCCAGAGGCGUUGCCGGCGCGGGGUAGUGGGACCUGGCGGGAGAGGGCUCUGGACCUCUCAGGAAGUUACAAAAGCGCAGUCUAGCCGAACGGCAUGGCGAAGGCCGGCCAUAGAGGGUGACAGCCCCGUAGGCGAAAGGCUAGCGCUCUUCCCGCGCCAGGCUCCCGAGUACCUCGGGACACGUGGAAUCCAGAGGGAAUCCGGGCGGACCACCGCCCAAGGCUAAAUACUAACCCGUGACCGAUAGCGGAAUAAGUACCGUGAGGGAAAGGUGAAAAGAACCCCAGUGCGGGGAGUGAAAUAGAACCUGAAACCUGAAGCCUAAAAGCAGUCGGAGGGUUUUCCGUUCCUUCGGGAGCGGAGGGCCUGACGGCGUGCCUUUUGCCUAAUGAGCCCGGGAGUUACUUUUGGCGGCGAGGUUAAGGCACUCUGUGCCGUAGCCGUAGCGAAAGCGAGUCCGAACAGGGCGUCUAGUCGCCAGGAGUAGACCCGAAGCCAGGUGAGCUACCCAUGGGCAGGGUGAAACCGGGGUAACACCCGGUGGAGGCCCGAACCGGUGGAUGGUGAAAUAUCCUCGGAUGACCUGUGGGUAGGAGUGAAAAGCUAACCGAACUUGGUGAUAGCUGGUUCUCCCCGAAAUAUAUCCAGGUAUAGCCUCAGGCGUUCCCUGUCGGGGGUAGAGCACUGUUUGGGCUAGGGGGCAACUCCAAACCCUUGCAAACUCCGAAUACCGACAGGCCAAGCCUGGGAGUCAGGCAGUGGGGGAUAAGCUCCAUUGCCGAAAGGGGAACAACCCAGACCGCCGGCUAAGGUCCCCAAGUGCAGGCUAAGUGGUAAAGGAAGUGGAGAUGCCAAAACAGCUGGGAUGUUGGCUUAGAAGCAGCCAUCAUUUAAAGAGUGCGUAACAGCUCACCAGUCUAGCUUCUCCGCGCCGAAAAUAUAGCGGGGCUCAAGCCUGCCACCGAAGCCGCGGGUCGCCACCUCUGGUGGCGGCGGUAGGGGAGCGUUCCCAGCGGGCUGAAGCAGUCGCCGUGAGGGGCUGUGGACUGCUGGGAAGUGAGCAUCCGGGCAUAAGUAACGAUAAAGGGAGUGAGAAUCUCCCUCGCCGAAAGCCUAAGGUUUCCGCAGGAAGGUUCGUCCACUGCGGGUUAGCCGGCCCCUAAGGUGAGGCCGAAAGGCGUAGCCGAUGGGAAGGGGGUCAAAAUUCCCCUGCCAUCCCGGGGGAGCGCGAUGGGGCGACGCAGUAGGGAAGGGCCCGGGGACUGUUGGCUGUCCCUCCAAACCUCUAGGGCUAUGAUGGGCCGAGGCAAAUCCCGGCCCGGAGCCUGAGGGGGAGUAAGGAACCGGAAGGAAAACCUCCGGGGAAGGGCUCGGACCACACUGCCAAGAAAGAACCUCGCGCGCUGUGAAUCCGGGAUGACCGUACCGUAAACCGACACAGGUAGGCGGGCAGAGAAUGCUAAGGCGCGCGGGAUAACCCUCGCUAAGGAACUCGGCAAGUUGACCCCGUAACUUCGGGACAAGGGGUGCCCGUUGUAGGUGAACGCCCUUGCGGCGGGAGCUGAAGCGGGUUGCAGGGAAACGGGCCUAGCGACUGUUUACCAAAAACACAGGGCUCCGCACAACUCGUAAGAGGAUGUAUGGGGCCUGAUGCCUGCCCAGUGCCGGAAGGUUAAGGGGAGGAGUGCAAGCUCCGAUCCGAAGCCCCGGUAAACGGCGGCCGUAACUAUAACGGUCCUAAGGUAGCGAAAUUCCUUGUCGGGUAAGUUCCGACCUGCACGAAUGGCAUAACGACUGGGCCACUGUCUCAGCGAGGGACCCGGUGAAAUUGUGGUCGGGGUGAAGACACCCCGUACCCGCGGCAGGACCGAAAGACCCUGUGAAGCCUUACUGCAGCUUGGCGUUGGAUCUUGGCCAGGCAUGUGCAGGAUAGGUGGGAGCCUAUGAAGCCGGGGCGUCAGCUUCGGUGGAGGCGACGGUGAGAUACCACCCUUGUCUGUUCGGGAUUCUAACCUGUUCCCGUGAAUCCGGGUCAGGGACAGCGCUUGGUGGGCAGUCUGACUGGGGCGGUUGCCUCCUAAAGGGUAACGGAGGCGCCCAAAGGUCCCCUCAGCACGGACGGCAACCGUGCGUUGAGUGCAAUGGCAGAAGGGGGCCUGACUGUGAGGCCGACGGGCCGAGCAGGGGCGAAAGCCGGGCAUAGUGACCCGACAGUUCCGCGUGGAAGGGCUGGAGAUCAGCGGAUAAAGGCUACUCCGGGGAUAACAGGCUAGUCUCGCCCAAGAGUUCACAUCGACGGCGAGGUUCGGCACCUCGAUGUCGGCUCAUCCUAUCCUGGGGCCGCAGCAGGUCCCAAGGGUUGGUCUGUCCGCCCAUUAAAAGGGUACGUGAGCUGGGUUCAGACCGUCGUAAGACAGGUCGGUCCCUAUCCGCCGCGGGCGCAGGAGACUUGAGGGGGGCUGUCCCUAGUACGAGAGUACCGGGAUGGGGGCACCUCUGGUUUACCGGCUGUCUCGCCAGAGGCAGAAGCCGGGUAGCCAUGUGCCUAAGCGAUAACCGCUGAAGGCAUCUAAGCGGGAAGCGCGCCCCAAGACACGAGGUCUCCCGCCCCUCGUGGGCUAAGGUCCCUGGAAGACUACCAGGUUGAUAGGCGGCAGGUGUAAGCGCGGCAACGCGUUCAGCCGAGCCGUACUAAUAGACCGAGCGUCUUUCUCAU
rnacentral:rRNA from 1 species